AUAAUGAAUUAUUAAUAUUUUGCACUUUAAAUUUUGUAUGAAUUUUCUAUCAAUUUGAAAAUAGUGGAUAUUAGUCUUUAUUUUUAGAGAAAAUACUAGUUUGGUCGCAUCAGGAAAAGUUUUCCCACAUUAAAAAAUAAAAAAUAAACAAACAAAUCAUCCAUUAAGGAGGGUAGUAUUGUAAUUAAACAUCCAAAUACUACAAUGCUGAAAUUUUGACUCUAUCAAAAACAUCCCCAACAGAAUUUUUUUUUCCAGCAAGAACACCCAUCUCCGGCUGGCAACACAAUUCUCCUCCGGCAACUCCAGCCACAAACCCAAACCUCCAGUUACCUCCAACCACGUGAAACAACACCUUCCUACAAUCGGAUCUGCUUCUCCAGCGACGUCCAUCUCCGGCGACGUCCUUCUCCAUCACCAGCGACGUCCUUCUCCAUCUCCGACGACGAACUUCUCCAUUGUCCAAAGCAUCCAAGAAAACCAGGUACGGAAAAUACUACUUUUGUUCAAUUUGGAGGCAAGUGGUCAGAGGCGAGGGAGGAGGUUGGUUCGUGGUCAGAUCUGGUUUUUUUUUUUUUUGUCUUGAGAUCUGUGGUAACUGGUUACCUUCACGUUGUUUGUUUGUAUAUUUUAGGAGGUAACUGGUUACCUUCACAUUCUGAUGUGUGUAUAUUUCUGGGUUCUAUAUGGUAACUGGUUACCUAGGUUACUAAAUCAUACUUACUCUUCUUCUUUUUUUCCUUCAAA